rnacentral:rRNA from 1 species
GACGAACGCUGGCGGCGUGCUUAACACAUGCAAGUCGAACGAAGUGGCGAACGGGUGAGUAACGCGUAAUCAACCUGCCAUUCAGCGGGGGACAACAGUUGGAAACGAGUACAAAUACGGCAUACUGAAGGAGGGGAUGGCGUCGGAUUAGCUAGUUGGGGGGGCAACGGCCCACCAAGGCGCGGAUAAGUAGCCGGACUGAGGGGAUGAACGGCCACAUUGGGACUUGGAAAAGGCCCAGUAGUCUACGGGAGGCAGGAAGGGGGGAACUUGCGAAAUUGACGACAGUCUGACGGAGCAACGCCGCGGUGGUGAUGACGGGCUUCGGGUUGUAAAGCUCUGUUAAUCGGGACGCGUUACCGGAAUAGAAAGCCACGGCUAACUACGUGCCAGCAGCCGCGGUAAUAC